GCACAUUUAAAAUUUUGAAAAAAUAAAUAAAUAAAAUUAUACUUUAGAUAAAAGAAAUAAAACAUGCAAAAAAUGGAUUUUUUUUCUAUGCAUAUUACAAAAAUUGUUAAUAAAGAAUUUGGUUUUAUAUUAUCAGUUACUUUACGAAUAGAGAUGCUAUUUCAACAUAAUUUUCAUGAUGUUGCUCAAAAUAGUACUAAAAUGAAAAAAGAUGGAACUUCAUGUUACUAAAAUAACCCAAAAAAAUUACUCUAUAUCUAAGUGUCAAACCCUCUAAACCACAUGUUACAUUUCUAAACUUUUACACUAACAAACUAAAAUUUUAGAUUAUCCACAUCCUGUAAAAAUAUUUUCUAAUUAAUAAAAUCUCAAUUUAUACUAAUUACUAAACAUAAAAUUCUAGUACAUACUACUUAAGUUCUAAAGUAACCAAUACAGCAAAUCCUAGUUUAAUAGCAUCAAGGUAAUUGAUUCAUUUAAAUGUCAACAAACCAGCCUUAAAAUUUGAAAUUUUAACAGCAGUGGCAGGACCAACCACUUUAAGCACAUACCCCAAACUACGAUUAGAUCAUUUUAUAAAAAUAUUAUAAUUGUCAUGAUAUAAUCA
rnacentral:misc_RNA from 1 species